rnacentral:rRNA from 1 species
UACGUAGGACGCAAGCAUUAUCCGGAAUUACUGGGCGUAAAGAGCGCGCAGGCGGAUACUUAAGUCAGGUAUGAAAGCUCUGGGCUAAACUCGGAGAGGCUACAUGAUACUGGGUAUCUAGAGUGGGGAAGAGGGGCGUAGAAUUCCGCGUGUAGUGGUAAAAUGCGUAGAUAUGCGGAGGAAUACCAGUGGCGAAGGCGACGCUCUGGUCCCCAACUGACGCUGAGGCGCGAAAGCAUGGGGAGUGAACGGG